CAGAGGGUGCGAGCGUUAAUCGGAAUUACUGGGCGUAAAAGCGAGUGUAGGUGGCUCAUUAAGUCACAUGUGAAAAUCCCCGGGGCUUAACCUGGGAACUGCAUGUGAUACUGGUGGUGCUAGAAUAUGUGAGAGGGAAGUAGAAUUCCAGGUGUAGCGGUGAAAAUGCGUAGAGAUCUGGAGGAAUACCGAUGGCGAAGGCAGCUUCCUGGCAUAAUAUUGACACUGAGAUUCGAAAGCGUGGGUAGCAAACAGGAUU
rnacentral:rRNA from 1 species